GCAAACGUCACACUCCCCCUAUCCGUGAGGCACGCGCGCUCGGCUGCGAUCGGCGCGGCGUGAGCCGUCGCGCACUCGGCUACGUUCGCAGCCGUAAACAACAAUCCAUUGUGUUUCAAUAAUUUACCUGUCAAACCACCAUCAAAUAAUUCACCUGUGGAAAAAAAUUAACACAUGAAACAGCCUCAUAUCUCAUAAAAAACAAAUUCUGUUGAGAAUAUCUCAACAAACAAAGAUAUUAAUUCUACGUCCCAUGAAACUCUUCAACCAAGUCAUUCUCAUGUUGCUGCUGUUCUCCAAGUUUUAGUAGACAGACAGGAAGAACUGAAUGGGAAAGUAGAACAUGUAAUCCUGAUGCU